rnacentral:rRNA from 1 species
GACGAACGCUGGCGGCGUGCUUAACACAUGCAAGUCGAACGGAAAGGCCCUGCUUGCUGGGUACUCGAGUGGCGAACGGGUGAGUAACACGUGGGUGAUCUGCCCUGCACUUCGGGAUAAGCCUGGGAAACUGGGUCUAAUACCGGAUAGGAGCCAUUUUUAGUGUGAUGGUUGGAAAGAUUUUUCGGUGUUGGAUGAGCUCGCGGCCUAUCAGCUUGUUGGUGGGGUAAUGGCAUACCAAGGCGGCGAAGGGUAGCCGGCCUGAGAGGGUGGACGGCCACCUUGGGACUGCGAUACGGCCCAGAGUCCUACGGGAGGCAGCAGUGGGGAAUCUUGCACAGUGGGCGCAAGCCUGAUGCAGAGACGCCGCGUUGGGGAUGACGGCCUUCGGGUUGUAAACUGCUUUCGCUAGGGACGAAGCUUUUGUGACGGUACCUAGAUAAGAAGCACCGGCUAACUACGUG